rnacentral:rRNA from 1 species
CCCUACGGGAGGCAGCAGUGGGGAAUAUUGGACAAUGGGCGAAAGCCUGAUCCAGCCAUGCCGCGUGUGUGAAGAAGGCCUUCGGGUUGUAAAGCACUUUCAGUGGGGAAGAAAGCCUUGGGGCUAAUACCCUCGAGGAAGGACAUCACCCACAGAAGAAGCACCGGCUAACUCCGUGCCAGCAGCCGCGGUAAUACGGAGGGUGCGAGCGUUAAUCGGAAUUACUGGGCGUAAAGCGCGCGUAGGCGGUCUGAUAAGCCGGUUGUGAAAGCCCCGGGCUCAACCUGGGAACGGCAUCCGGAACUGUCAGGCUAGAGUGCAGGAGAGGAAGGUAGAAUUCCCGGUGUAGCGGUGAAAUGCGUAGAGAUCGGGAGGAAUACCAGUGGCGAAGGCGGCCUUCUGGACUGACACUGACGCUGAGGUGCGAAAGCGUGGGUAGCAAACAGGAUUAGAUACCCCAGUAGUC